CUACAAAAUCCAUGGUGAUCCUCUCCCAUUUCCACUCCAGAAUCUCUAUUUGCUGAAGCAAUCCACCUGGUCUCUGUUGCUCAUACUUCACCUGCUGAUAGUUGAGGCAUGUAGCUGCUUUUUCGUUUGUGCAUUUUUUUUUCUCCCAUGCUUUCCGUUGGUCAACAACCAACCAAAGUGCUCUAUACUUCUUCACUACUCGUCCAGGCUUGACGGAGUUAAGCUGUAUUGAGGGAAUCG
rnacentral:lncRNA from 1 species